rnacentral:rRNA from 1 species
GAUGAACGCUGGCGGCGUGCCUAAUACAUGCAAGUCGAGCGAAUGGAUUAAGAGCUUGCUCUUAUGAAGUUAGCGGCGGACGGGUGAGUAACACGUGGGUAACCUGCCCAUAAGACUGGGAUAACUCCGGGAAACCGGGGCUAAUACCGGAUAAUAUUUUGAACUGCAUGGUUCAAAAUUGAAAGGCGGCUUCGGCUGUCACUUAUGGAUGGACCCGCGUCGCAUUAGCUAGUUGGUGAGGUAACGGCUCACAAAGGCAACGAUGCGUAGCCGACCUGAGAGGGUGAUCGGCCACACUGGCACUGAGACACGGCCCAGACUCCUACGGGAGGCAGCAGUAGGGAAUCUUCCGCAAGGGACGAAAGUCUGACGGAGCAACGCCGCGUGAGUGAUGAAGGCUUUCGGGUCGUAAAACUCUGUUGUUAGGGAAGAACAAGUGCUAGUUGAAUAAGCUGGCACCUUGACGGUACCUAACCAGAAAGCCACGGCUAACUACGUGCCAGCCGCCGCAGUAA